rnacentral:rRNA from 1 species
CACGGGGGUUGCGAGCGUUGUCCGGAAUUACUAGGCGUAAAGGGCAGGCAGGCGGAUCCAUAAGUUUAUCGUUUAAGGCGUCGGCUUAAUCGGAGUAGGGCGGUAGAUACUGUGGAUCUGGAAUGCGGUUGGGGAAGACAGAAUUCCUGGUGUAGCGGUGGAAUGCGCAGAGAUCAGGAGGAAUACCGAAGGCGAAGGCAGUCUUCCAAGCCGUUAUUGACGCUCAACUGCGAAGGUGUGGGUAUCAAACAGGAUUAGAUACCCUGGUAGUCCCU